rnacentral:rRNA from 1 species
UACGGAGGGUGCAAGCGUUAUCCGGAUUUACUGGGUUUAAAGGGUGCGUAGGCGGAUAGGUAAGUCAGGGGUGAAAUCUUCGAGCUUAACUCGGAAAUUGCCUUUGAUACUAUCUAUCUUGAAUAUUGUGGAGGUAAGCGGAAUAUGUCAUGUAGCGGUGAAAUGCUUAGAGAUGACAUAGAACACCUAUUGCGAAGGCAGCUUACUACGCAUAUAUUGACGCUGAGGCACGAAAAGCGUGGGGAUCAAACAGG